AGGGGUGCAGCUCAGUGGUAGAGAAUCUGCUUUGCAUGCAGAAGGGCUCAGGUUCAAUCCCUGGCAUCUCCA